GGGCGGUUAGCUCAGUUGGUUUAGAGUACUACGUUGACAUCGUAGAGGUCAGUGGUUCGAGUCCACUACCGCCCACCA
rnacentral:tRNA from 2 species